GAACGCUGGCGGCGUGCUUAACACAUGCAAGUCGAGCGGAAAGGCCCUUCGGGGUACUCGAGCGGCGAACGGGUGAGUAACACGUGAGUAACCUGCCCCAGACUUUGGGAUAACCCUCGGAAACGGGGGCUAAUACCGAAUAUGACUUCUGGUCGCAUGACCGGGUGUGGAAAGUUUUUCGGUUUGGGAUGGACUCGCGGCCUAUCAGCUUGUUGGUGGGGUAAUGGCCUACCAAGGCGACGACGGGUAGCCGGCCUGAGAGGGCGACCGGCCACACUGGGACUGAGACACGGCCCAGACUCCUACGGGAGGCAGCGGUGGGAAUAUUGCACAAUGGGCGGAAGCCUGAUGCAGCGACGCCGCGUGAGGGAUGACGGCCUUCGGGUUGUAAACCUCUUUCAGCAGGGACGAAGCGUAAGUGACGGUACCUGCAGAAGAAGCGCCGGCCAACUACGUGCCAGCAGCCGCGGUAAGACGUAGGGCGCGAGCGUUGUCCGGAUUUAUUGGGCGUAAAGAGCUCGUAGGCGGCUUGUCGCGUCGACUGUGAAAACUUGGGGCUCAACUCCAAGCUUGCAGUCGAUACGGGCAGGCUAGAGUUCGGUAGGGGAGACUGGAAUUCCUGGUGUAGCGGUGAAAUGCGCAGAUAUCAGGAGGAACACCGGUGGCGAAGGCGGGUCUCUGGGCCGAUACUGACGCCGAGGAGCGAAAGCGUGGGGAGCGAACAGGAUUAGAUACCCUGGUAGUCCACGCUGUAAACGUUGGGCGCUAGGUGUGGGGGGCCUCUCCGGUUUCCUGCGCCGCAGCUAACGCAUUAAGCGCCCCGCCUGGGGAGUACGGCCGCAAGGCUAAAACU
rnacentral:rRNA from 1 species